rnacentral:rRNA from 1 species
UCCUACGGGAGGCAGCAGUAGGGAAUAUUGCGCAAUGGACGAAAGUCUGACGCAGCAACGCCGCGUGGAUGAUGAAGCUUUUUGGAGUGUAAAAUCCUGUCAGUGGGGACGAACAAGUGUGGGAGUAACUGCCCAUGCCCUGACGGUACCCACAGAGGAAGUUCCGGCCAACUCCGUGCCAGCAGCCGCGGUAAUACGGGGGGAACAAGCGUUGUUCGGAUUUACUGGGCGUAAAGGGCGUGUAGGCGGAUUUUCCAGUCAGAUGUGAAACCCGGUGGCUUAACCACCGGCCUGCAUCUGAUACUGUUAAUCUUGAGUAUGGAAGAGGAAAGCGGAAUUCCAGGUGUAGCGGUGACAUGCGUAGAUAUCUGGAAGAACACCGGUGGCGAAGGCGGCUUUCUGGUCCAAUACUGACGCUGAGGCGCGAAAGCUAGGGGAGCAAACAGGAUUAGAUACCCUGGUAGUCCACGCCGUAAACGAUGAGUGCUAGUUGUUUGGGGCUAUCCAGCCCUAAGUGACGCAGCAAACGCAUUAAGCACUCCGCCUGGGGAGUACGACCGCAAGGUUGAAACUCAAAGGAAUU